rnacentral:rRNA from 1 species
UACGUAGGGGGCAAGCGUUGUCCGGAUUUAUUGGGCGUAAAGAGCGUGUAGGCGGCCAAGCAGGUCAGCUGUGAAAACUCGAGGCUCAACCUCGAGACGUCGGUUGAAACCGCUUGGCUAGAGUCCGGAAGAGGAGAGUGGAAUUCCCGGUGUAGCGGUGAAAUGGCGCAGAUAUCGGGAAGAACACCCGUGGCGAAGGCGGCUCUCUGGGACGGUACUGACGCAUGAGACGCGAAAGCGUGGGGAGCGAACAGG